GAUAAAUAGUAAUUUGGAACCAAAACUCAGGACGUCCCAGGAGAGGCUAGAUUAGGAAUUCUUUGAUUUGGGAUCACGAAAAUGAAGUAUCCAUAUUUUAACAGAAUGAUUAGUGGCAGAGGAAUCAUCUAAGAAAACUGAGAAGACUCUGCCAGAGUGAUGGGAAGAAAACUAGAUGAGAAAGCACCAUUCUGGAAGACAUGCUCCCAUGAACCAUGGAGAGAAGAGGAGAGGGAAGAAGUUAUUUGUGAUGUCAUUUGCCUGUGUCAUGGCCUGCCUUCCCUAGAUAUUGUCCUAAUGUGA
rnacentral:lncRNA from 1 species